rnacentral:misc_RNA from 1 species
GAUGAAGAACGUAGCGAAAUGCGAUACGUAAUGUGAAUUGCAGAAUUCAGUGAAUCAUCGAAUCUUUGAACGCAUAUUGCGCUCUCUGGUAUUCCGGAGAGCAUGCUUGUUUGAGUAUCAGUAAACACCUCAACUUCCAUAUCUUUUUUGAAAUGGGAGUUGGACUUGAGUGAUCCCAACGCUUUUCCUCACCGAAAAGUGGCGGGUUACUUGAAAUGCAGGUGCAGCUGGACUUUUCUCUGAGCUAUAAGCAUAUCUAUUUAGUCUGCCUAAAAAACAGAUUAUUACCUUUGCUGCAGCUAACAUAAAGGAGAUUAGUUCUUGUGCUGACUGAUGCAGGAUUCACAAAGACAGCUUCGGCCGACUUUGUAAACUCGAUCUCAAAUCAAGCAAGACUACCCGCUGAACUUAAGCAUAUCAAUAAGCGGAGGA